GAAAAAAAGUUUAUCAAUGGUGCUAAGGAAAUCUGCUAUGCUCUUCGAGCUGAAGGCUAUUGGGCUGACUUUAUUGACCCAUCAUCUGAUUGAGCAUUUUUUGGA